AUACGGAGGAUCCGAGCGUUAUCCGGAUUUAUUGGGUUUAAAGGGUGCGCAGGCGGCCAUUUAAGUCAGCGGUUAAAUCGUGGGGCUCAACCCCAUUCUGCCGUUGAUACUGGGUGGCUUGAUUGCGGUCGAGGUUGGCGGAAUUCGUUGUGUAGCGGUGGAAUGCAUAGAUAUGACGAAGAACACCGAUUGCGUAGGCAGCUGACCAGACCGCAAAUGACGCUCAGGCACGAAAGUGCGGGGAUCGAACAGGAUUAGAUACCCUGGUAGUCUGCACAGUAAACGAUGAAUACUUGUUUUCGGCGAUAUAAUGUCGGAGGCAAAGCGAAAGCGAUAAGUAUUCCACCUGGGAGUACGCCGGCAACGGUGAAACUUAAAGGAAUUGACGGGG
rnacentral:rRNA from 1 species